CUAAAAUCCAUAUUGUUGUGUGGAGUAACUUGAGAUUUGCUCUAAAUGGCAUUAUUGAUUCAAAGCUGGUGUCAUAUGGAGAUAAAAGAGUCCAAGAUGUUUUGAGGAUGACAUUUUACCGUAGUCCCAACUUUGUUGCAUCCACCAAGGACUCGGACCGUGGUUCUCACGUCUCCCAGUCCUUCCAGUGCCUGGGCAGAGAUCGUAGCUCGGAAUGAGUGUGUGAGAUCCAGCGUGUGCCGUGACAGCGUGCGGUGCUUUUGGGAUGCCCUGCCGAGCCCUGGCUGCCCCCGGAAGCAGGUGCGGGAUGGCUGGGAAGAUGUGAGGAGACGGCAGCAGCGGCAGCAGCGGCAGCAGCGGCGCAGUCGGAGCGCGUGGGACCAGCACAUCCCUGCCCACAUCUGCAGCCGGGAUUGCCCCCAGCUCCACACCUGUGCUCCCCGCGCCCUCCGCACGCUUGCGUUGAGCCUGGCGCCUUCCACUCCUUAGGAAACCGGCGUGUCGGGAGAAGUUUCUGCCGGAGCCGUUCACCCCCAGCAGCCGCAGCAGCAGCAGCGGAGUGCGGGGCUGCCAGCGGAGCCUCUGGACAGCCGCCCCGUGCCGGGAUGCGCGGGACGCUCCCGCCCAGCUGAGGGUGCUCAGGCCGGUCCCGGGGCAGCAGGAUUAGAGAAAAGCCAGAAAAUGGAGCACGCGGGGAGCAGCGCUGGCUGAGGGGCCGAGCUGGGGACAGCCCUCGGCGCCCCGCGGACGCGCAGGUACCCCCGGCCCCGCGGCGCUGAGGGGGCACAGCCGGGGCGGGAACGCGGCCCUGGGCGGGAGCGGCCGCUGAGGGCGGCGGGCGCAGGGGGCGGCCCGGGCGGCGAGGCGGGCGCUGCCGGGCGAGCCGGGGGGCGGCUCCCCGGACCGGCCCCCCGGGAAACGCGGCCCCGGCGAGCCCCGGCGAGCCGGAGGAGGCGGCGGCGGCGGCGGCUGCUGGUGCCGGGGGCAUCGCGGCGCUGCCCCGUCCGAGGGACCGGCGCUGUGCCCCUCUUGCAGCUCUGUUCCAUCUCCUUGGAUCCAUUCUCUCACUGUUGGAAGGCACCGUCCCACCAGGACAGAGGAGCAGGCUCGUGCUCGUGGGUGCCUUUGGAACCGCUCCGCUUGUGGACACAAGGUGAGGUCACAGGGGGCACAGAGGCUUCUCAUGGGGAAAAAGCCAUCUCAGGGUCAGCACUGCAUAUUGCUCCUGGCCUUUCACCCCACAGGAGCUGUCUCACACCUGUGGAUGCUGGUUUUUCCCUGUUUUCUGCAAAACUGAACUGAGCUCACCAUUUUUCGUGGUGUUAGGGAAGGCAAACAUGCACCACUUUGCCAUCAGGGUCACGUUUACCUGGUAGUAAGGAUCACCCUAAAUGAAUAUUUGAAAAUGUUAUCACGGAGCAGCUUAACUUUUGGCAAACUUUGCUUUUCUCCUCUGGCCUUUGCACUUGUACAGUCAGGUCUGAAAAUUGUGUCACUGUGAAUGCUGCUUCCCCUGUCAGUCAAGGAAACGGAAUGUUCAGGAUAAAGCCAAGUGAAAUUUCUACACUUCAAAAUCCAGGGAGAACACUUGAGGAAUGAAAGUGUUUGUUUUCCCUACUUGGAGGCCCUCAGCUGGUGUCAGCAGUUCUGCUGAAGCUGGUUAUUUAUGCCAAUAUUCAGACUUCAAAACUGCGAGUGUUAAUGCAGAGAGCAGCCCUUAAAUGCCACAUGGAAGAAAAUAUGUCAAGGUCCCCGAAAGAUUCAAACCAAAAAAAAGUAGUCCAAGGUAGUAUUUUGCUUUUUUAUUCUCCUUUUUUCUGUUCCCUCCCUAUGAUAUCCCAAUUACACUGUAUUCCCCAUUUUUCUCCUGAGGAGAGUGGUAUUUCCCACACAGCUGUGUGAUGUCAGUGCAGUGCCUGAUAUCCCAUGGAGCUGGGUCAUGGGGCUCUGUUUCUUUGUUUUCCAGGGGAUGAUAUUUUUAAUCCCAAAUGUGUGUAUGUCACACUGUUGGUGACUGGUGGCUUUUGCACUUCCCCUUCUAUAGAGGACGUGAUCUUCAUUUUUAAUGAGUUCCCGAAAUAAACACCUUCUUCUGUCUCAAAGCAGAAAAGAGAAAAAGGAGCCUUUUCAAAGUUCAGCUGAAAACUUGAACAUCUUGAAAUUUUCUCUCCUGUGGUAACCCACCUGUUUGAUAUGGCUUUCUCUUUUGUUAACAAAGCUGGGCUAAAACUUUGAGGAUUACUCUGAAACUUUCCUCCCAUGAGACUUCAGAUUGACAAAGAAGAUAUAAAACUUCAUUAAAUUAAACUCAUCAAACUGUUUAUUGCUUCCCUUUUUUUUGCAAAGCUCCCUUACUUGCCAAACCAGAUGGGAUAAAAAUACAGUGCAAAUUAUGCUGAAUGCAGCAGCUUGGCUCUCACUAAUACCCUUUUAGGAGAAAAUACAUAUUGAAUUUUUUGGUACAGUUUGCUCAUGUUUAUGUCUUUUAUUCAGAGUGGCAGAAUAUUGUGUAGUCCAAAAUGACAUGUACAGUAGUAUAUUCAUUUAAUUGCUAUUUGUUGGUAUUAAAAGUCUAUCAUUUUUAACCUAAACUGAAAAGAAUAUCCUGCUGAGAUCUUCAGAUAUCAACAUUCCCUUACUGGUCAUCCGGAAGUGUGAAAUGGUCCUGUGAAGUGUAAUCUAAAUAAAAACUUUUCAUAAUUUAUGCUCCAUAUGAGUGUAAUCAUUAACCCAAGCCUUGCUCCACAAUGUUGUUGCAAUUUCUGUUUUCAUUUGUUUUCUUCUUAGCCCUCUCAGCAUUUGGCUGCAGCUGAAUUGUUUAUGAAAUUGCUGUUUAGUUGUUCAGCUUGUCUCCAGUCUGCCAGCUUCUGCUUU
rnacentral:lncRNA from 13 species